rnacentral:rRNA from 1 species
UACGUAGGGUGCAAGCGUUAAUCGGAAUUACUGGGCGUAAAGCGUGCGCAGGCGGUUUUGUAAGUCUGUCGUGAAAUCCCCGGGCUCAACCUGGGAAUUGCGAUGGAGACUGCAAGGCUAGAAUCUGGCAGAGGGGGGUAGAAUUCCACGUGUAGCAGUGAAAUGCGUAGAGAUGUGGAGGAACACCGAUGGCGAAGGCAGCCCCCUGGGCCAAUACUGACGCUCAUGCACGAAAGCGUGGGGAGCAA